rnacentral:rRNA from 1 species
AUUGAACGCUGGCGGCAUGCCUUACACAUGCAAGUCGAACGGCAGCGGGCCUUCGGGUGCCGGCGAGUGGCGAACGGGUGAGUAAUGCAUCGGAACGUGCCAUUGAGUGGGGGAUAACGUAGCGAAAGUUGCGCUAAUACCGCAUAUUCUGUGAGCAGGAAAGCAGGGGACCGCAAGGCCUUGCGCUCUUUGAGCGGCCGAUGUCAGAUUAGCUAGUUGGUGAGGUAAAGGCUUACCAAGGCGACGAUCUGUAGCGGGUCUGAGAGGAUGAUCCGCCACACUGGAACUGAGACACGGUCCAGACUCCUACGGGAGGCAGCAGUGGGGAAUUUUGGACAAUGGGGCAACCCUGAUCCAGCCAUGCCGCGUGAGUGAAGAAGGCCUUCGGGUUGUAAAGCUCUUUCGGUCCGGGAAGAAAUCGCAUGGGUGAAUACCCUGUGUGGAUGACGGUACCGGAACGAAGAAGCACCGGCUAACUACGUGCC